rnacentral:lncRNA from 1 species
GAUCACUUUUCAUUCUAGACAGCAUUAUGUCCAAUAAACCAUUGAGUCACUUUGCAUAAUAUCAUCAGCCGGCUCAGUCCUUAAUAAAAUUGGGUGGGUUACCGUCCCUUUUCAUCAGGACAAAAAAAUUAAGGGCUGGCCUGGUUCAAUAUUCACCAAUACACCCAAUUCAUCGCAUUGCUGAUCCAAUUAGCCUGGUUGA